AAAGGGAGACCUAAUUCAGGUAGGAGACGAAAAAAAAGUAGUCCCAACCAAGAAUCAAUCCCAAAAGGUCGGAGCGAGGUAUGAGGCUUUCAAACUAGGUUCUGGGUUCAUAAAAGACCUGAAUCAGGAACAAGGGCUAUUAGCUCAGGUGGUUAGAGCGCACCCCUGAUAAGGGUGAGGUCCCUGGUUCGAGUCCAGGAUGGCCCACCUGCACAGGUGGCAAAAACAAAGAAAAGAAGCUCCGAAUCAGCACCUUAUCUUACUUAUAUAGUAAGAGAGAAUGCUGGCUCUGAGUUCAGAGUCCAGAGGAACCUUGAAAACUGCAUUGAGCUAGGUGAAAAAGCCAAAAAAGAAGACCGCAAG
rnacentral:tRNA from 1 species